rnacentral:lncRNA from 1 species
GUUGCUCUGGCUGAUCUCAAAUGUUUGACCUCAAGGGAUCUUUCUGCCACAGCCUCCUUAAGUGCUAGGAUUAUAUGCAUGAUACACCAUGCCUAUUGUAGAGUAUUACAUUAUUUUCAAAGUCUUAUUGUAAGAGCCAUUUAUUGCCUUUGGCCUAAAUAACUCAAUAUAAUAUCUCUGAAACUUUUUUUUGACAAAUUUUGGGGCAUGAUGAUGAGAGAAGGGGGUUUGAAACUUUCUAAUAAGAGUUAACUUAGAGCCAUUUAAGAAAGGAAAAAACACAAAUUAUCAGAAAAACAAAAGUAAGAUCAAGUGCAAAAGUUCUGUGGCAAAGAUGAUGAGAGUAAAGAAUAUAUGUUUGUGACUCAUGGUGGCUUUUACUUUGUUCUUGCAUUUCUGAGUACGGGUUAACAUUUAAAGAAUCUACAUUAUAGAUAACAUUUUAUUGCAAGUAAAUGUAUUUCAAAAUUUGUUAUUGGUUUUGUAUGAGAUUAUUCUCAGCCUACUUCAUUAUCAAGCUAUAUUAUUUUAUUAAUGUAGUUCGAUGAUCUUACAGCAAAGCUGAAAGCUGUAUCUUCAAAAUAUGUCUAUUUGACUAAAAAGAAGUUAUUCAACAGGAGUUAUUAUCUAUGAAAAAAAUACAACAGGAAUAUAAAAAACUUGAAGAGGAUAAGAAGAUGUUGGAAAAAGUAAUAUUAAAUCUUAAAAAACAUAUGGAAAGUACACAUUGGUGAAGACACAUUGGUGAAGUACAAAAAUAUAAAUUGGAUCUAGAAGAAAGGGCAAUUCAGGCAAUAGAAAAAUUAGUAGAAAUCCCUUUAAAGGUUAGUUUGUAAAAUCAGGUAAGUUUAUUUAUAAUUUGCUUUCAUUUAUUUCACUGCAAAUUAUAUUUUGGAUAUAUAUAUAUAUUGUGCUUCCUCUGCCUGUCUUACAGCAAUUUGCCUUGCAGAGUUCUAGGAAAAAGGUGGCAUGUGUUUUUACUUUCAAAUAUUUAAAUUUCCAUCAUUCUAACAAAAUCAAUUUUUCAGAGUAAUGAUUCUCACUGUGGAGUCAUUUGAUUAUUAAGACCCGUUGGCAUAAGAUUACAUCCUCUGACUAUAAAAAUCCUGGAAGAAAACCUAGGAAAUAUUCGUCUGGACUUUGCACUUGGCAAUGAAUUUAUGGGCGCUUUGGAAUCCUGCAGAUAUAAUAAUGAUAAUUAAACAAAACACUCAGAGAAACUGCCAACCCUAGGAUGAAGUAUAUUGUUACUGUGCUUUGGGAUUAAAAUAAGUAACUACAGUUUAUAGAACUUUUAUACUGAUACACAGACACUAAAAAGGGAAAGGGUUUAGAUGAGAAGCUCUGCUGUGCAAUCAAGAAUCUCAGCCACUCAUUUCUGUAGGGGCUGCAGGAGCUCCCUGUAAAGAGAGGUUAUGGAGUCUGUAGCUUCAGGUAACCACUGAUCCACUUCCAGUCACUAUCCAUGAGUUUUUAUUUCCAAAUACAUGAAAUCAUAUGGUUUUGGCUGUUGCAAGUAAAGCUGCUAUGAAGAUUCAUGUAAAAUCCUCUGAAUGGGCAUAUGCUCUUAGUUUUCAUCUCUAAUAGAAGUGGAAUAGACAGCUAUCAUGUCUGUAAUAUGCAAACACAAAGGCUGACAAAACUGAUUUCUAAAGUGGAAACUCCACUGGAUAACCUUGACUCCAGCCUGGCUUUUGAGAUUAUCUCCUAUGUUUGUGCAAUGAUUGGUCCUGGGGUAGCCACAUGACCCAAGGAGGACCAUGUUUAAACUUCUGAGUUUUCAUCGAGAUUAACAUGCAUUUGUUGAAAGAGAAAGCCCUUUUCUUCUAAUCCCCCAACUGCAAAUGCUUUCAGGGAUCACAUCAUGUUGGCACAUUUGGUUACAGUGUUUCCUAAACUUCGAGGGUAAAAAUUGUUCAAGUAGGUAAAAAUGGAGCAAAUACAGAGAAAAAAGGAGUCCAGAAACAUCAAAUAAAAAAGAAAGGGCCUCCAUAAAAUCAUUUGAACUUAUGAUUAAUUCAUUAGUCAUUAAAACAAGUUUAAUGUACAAAGAGUCAUCCCCCCAACCACCCUUUAUUCCUUCACCAAGUUUAAGUUACAUUUUUUUAACUUGCAAACAAAAGAUUUGUCAUUAACUUAGACAUCAAAACUCCUUGUCUCCAAGAGCAGUCAUUCAACUCUGUCCCUCUCAUUGUUACAAUAAUAUGUUCACUUCAUUCUGCAUACACCUGCUCUUUGCCCUUGUCUCCCUAUUCUAUUCUAUUAAAGUUACAUCCAGACAUUUAUUUCAUUUUGUAUCAAAGAAACUGUAUACAUGUUUUUAAUCUUAGAAAAAUUUCUGAGUAAUUUUUUGUCUCAUAUUUGAUUUUAAGCCACCCAAGAAGCAUUAUUUUUUCAUUUAGUAUUUUAACUUUUCUAACCCAGGACUUUUAUAGUAGAUAUUAUGUCUUUUUCUAAAUGCUCUGCUUCAAUUUACAUUUUAAAUCUAAAUUUUAAAAAGUGUACGUUUUCAAUAUUUGCAUCAUGUAUCUCAGGCCUAAAUAUCCCUUGAUAACCAAUCCUGCCUUUUUUUCUCUGCAUUUUUCACAUAUUUCAAUAGGGAGCUAUAUCGCCUGACACAAUAAAAGUUUUUGCCAAUAUAACAUAACACAUAGGCAAAAUUUUGUUUCCAAGUGAUUGAUGAUGUGGUGCCUUCAGUCUAGUCCCAAUCCCUCAAUGUAAUCAUCAUCCCUAUCUAAUGAAAUAUGAAAUAAAUAUUUCACUUUGUUUCUAAAAUUCAGCAGACAAAUAUAUAGCCUGUCACAUACAGCCUGUAACACCAACAUAUAAAAAUGAAAGCAGUUCCUUCUCCACUCCCACUGCUUCACUUGACUAGCCUUGAAAAAUAAUAACAAUAAUAAAAAAUGAAAGCAAAAUUGUUCCUUUAUUUAUCUUUGCAAUUUAAUGGAUAUACUGUCAGAAAAGCUCUUCUAUAUAUAUGGAGGGCCUCUAUAAAAUAUAGACUCUUAACUAGAAAAGUAGACUUACAUGAUGGUUAAAUUAAAAACACAAUUAUAUAUAGUACCUUCACAAAUGCACCAGUACUUAUUUCAGAAUGCAUGAUGUAAUUGACUAAACCAUUUAGGGCUAGACCUCUGAAAUAAAAGGCAUUCACACUUUGUGAUUCUAAGGGGAAAAUAUUAUUCAAAAUAGAAGCAUGCAGAACCUUUACCUGAUCAUGAUAAAAAAAUUUUCCUACUUGUUGUGAAUAUGCCACAGCUUUUCAAGGUCAGCAAAAAGAGAUUAUCCCACAAUAUAAGCUGAUGGCCAAAAUUAUCUGCCUUACUUUAGUUACCAUAAUAUCUAUUAAGUGUAAAUUUCUUCUGAAAGAAAACAGAUACAUUUUUCUCAGAAAUGUCUUUAGAUGAAGAUCUAGCACAUCUGUUUUUCUAACUUUUGAAAAUUUUGUUUUUAUCGAUAAAUAUAUAUGGGGUACAAUGUGGUACAAUACAUGUAAAUAUUGUGAAGUGGACAAAUUAGGCUAAAUAACAUAUCCUUCACCUCAGAUAUUUAUUACAUUAUGGUGAAACAUUUAAAAUGUACUAUUUUAGCGCUUUUAAGAUAUGCACUAUAUUAUGAGUAACUGCAGUCACUUUGCUGUGUACCAUAUCACCAGAAUGUAUUUCUCCUAACUGAAGCAUUAUCCCAUUGAAUAUUUCCCCUUUUUCCACCCCCGCCACCCGACCUGCUCAGCCUCUGAUAAACCACCAUUCUACUCUUAACUUCUAUGAGUGCACAUUUUUGGAUUUCACAUGUAAGUGGUAUCAUGAGAUAUUUGUCUUUCUGUGUCUGGCUUAUUUUACUUAGUAUAAUGUCCUCUAAAUUCAUCCACGUUUUUGCAAAUGACAGAAUUUCAUUCAUUUAUAAAGAUAAGUAGUAUUUUUGUAUGCAUCCUACAUAUGCUUUUAAUUUUCCACAGCUUUAUUGAGAUAUAAUUCAUACAUUAUGUAAUUCACUCAUUUAAAGUACAAACUUCAAAUUCUUUUAGUAUAUUAACUGGGUGGACAAAUAAUCUUCAUAAGAUAAUUUUAGAACAUUUUAAUGCCCUUAAAAGAGACUUGCACCCAUUAGCAAUCUUUCCCUAUUUUUUCCAGCCUUUUUAAAACCCCUCCUAGUCUAGGUGACCACUCAUCUAAUUUCUGACUAUGAAUUUGCCUAUUCUGGACAUUUCACAUAAACGGAAUCAUAAUAACACAUAGUCAUUUCUUACUCACUUCUUUCGCUUAACAUAUUUUUAAUGUUCAUCCAUUUUGGAGCAUGCAUUAACACUUUUUUCCCUUUUGUUAAGAAAUAAGAUUCUAUUUUAUAGACACACCACAUUUUAUUCAUCCACUCCUCAGUUGAUGAACAUUUCUGUUCUUUUCUACUUUUUGUUGCUAUAAACAU